UACAGUUUGCAUUUUCAUUGUCCUCCAAAGGUUCAUCGUGCUUCUGGGGAUGGUAGAAACUUUAGCAGAGGAAGCCAGUGACAAAGAUAUUAGAUCUUUAGAGUUAGUUGGGCUGUAAAGGGGAAGCUGGGUCCCCACUCCUCUCCUGUCUUUGUUUCCUAUCACCACGAAACUCUACUGUACCCCCCGCUCCCACCACGGUGUCAGCCUCAUCAUGGACCCAGAAGCAAUGGAAUCAGCGGACUAUGGACCGAAGACCCGGAAACUGAACCACAGGGAACCUUUCCUCAGGGAUCAGUGGCACCAGAAGAAUUUGAGUUGCUGUUGAGGGAGAACCGUGAAGGUUUAAAAGACUCUUCGCCCCGGAGGACGACGGAAACAGAAGCCGGCAGCUGCAGUUCUGUGCGGGACAGAGGACCCAGCGCAGGACUGAUGUGUAUACAAGAAAAUUUUCUGAAAUGUAGCAGUGAUGAUGAAGAGUCCCAUGCCUUAAGAAGAGCACGUGGAGGUGUCAAGGCUUGAUGUUGUACCUGUACGCCUCCAAUUUCUCCAUCACCGAAUGAAGGCAAAACCCUGGUAACCAAACUCACUUCACAGCUUUGUUCUACAUAGCGAAUGACAGAGGGUAUUCUAUCAGUUUCUUGGACAUUUCCGUAACAUACUUCCACACACUGGCUGGCUUGUAAGAAUGGAAAUCGUCUACAAUUCAGGAGGCCACAGACCCACAGACAGCAGCUGGUGAGGCAGGUUCCUGCUGACAGGCUGUGAGAGAAAAACGGUUCUGUGACUCUCCUGGCUUCCACGGACAACACCCAAGACUUGGUGUCAUUCCUGGGCUCCAGAGCCAUCUCUCCAUCUCUGCCUCCAGGUUGGCACACUUUCCUUUCUGUGUUCCUGCAGCCCUUUUCUGUCUCUAAUAACAUUCCCAGCCCGGGAUUUAGCUCAGUGGUGCC